AAUAGGUGCUACGUGUAUUGAUGAAUUUUAGUAAAUAUAAUCAGAAAGCAAGUCUUUUCUUUUCUAGUCAAACCCCUUCUAUAUCUCUCUUCAAAUUCUUGACAUUGACAACACUCUGCUACUACCACAGAUAAUCAGAAACAAUGGGUUGUUUAAUAAUGAUCAUGGAGCUUUUUCUUGAGUUAGUUUCCACCGUUGUUCUUACUGCUCUGUUCUGUUACAUUAUCGGUAAGCUAAUUUCUUCUCCUCAUAGUGGUGAUUCCAAUCAUGGUGAUAGCAAACUGGGUUUUUUUGAGUGUAAGUUCUCUGUUCAAUCGGAUAUUCGUGGUUUGAAUAGUGAGGAGGAGCGAGUUGGGUUUGUUGAAAAAGUUUGUGAGGUUGAGAAAUCCGAAGGUGGGUUGGUUGCCGCUGCUCAGGAAUUUGCUGAUCGUGAUUUUGGGUCUGUAGAAUUACGAAACCUUUUCGAGACUGAAGGAGAAUAUGAGAGUGUUGUUGAGGAAGAAAGUUAUGGAGGUAAUGGUGGGAUUAAUGAGAGAGCGGGUGAGUUGUUUGAUGGAAGUUCUGAAAGGGAUAUAAUUGAAGAGAUUGAGGAGUGUACGGGCACCAAUGAGAAAGAGGGUCUGGCUAAAUGUGAUGAAAUUGAGGUGGCUGAAUUUGAUGAAGUGGACAAUUAUGGAGGUGGUGAUGAUGCAAAGGGGGGUUUGUUUGAUGAAGAUGAUGAUUGGGUGGGAAUAGAAAGAACUGAGUUGGAGAGGCUGUUCGGUGCAGCAAUGGGGUAUGUUGGUUCCUCUAGUAAUGUGGAUAGAGUUUCAGCUCUUGAUAAUGAUGUGAAGAUGAUGUUAUAUGGGCUUUACAAGAUUGCUACUCAAGGACCUUGCCUUGAUCCUCAACCAAUGGCAUUGAAUUUUUUCGCAAGAGCAAAAUGGAACGCUUGGCAACAGCUUGCUGAAAUGACUCCAGAGACGGCUAUGGAGCGUUAUAUCUCACUUCUUUCAGAAAAAAUUCCUGGGUGGAUGCAAGAUGAAUCUGGUGGAUUUAUUGAUGCUUCUGAAUUCGGAAAGCAUGAUGGUCUGAAGACAAUUGCACACAACCAACCUAUUUCAGAGAAUGGGAGAAAACUUGAAGAACUGAAGCCUCAUCACUGAAAGUACAGAUGUCACAUAAGUUGGAGUUGGGACCCAUUGAAGCAACUAGUGAACAUUUUCUAGGAGUGGAAAUCACUUAUACUAGGAAAACUAGCAAUUUCAUGACGUGCAAACAUAACAUGCCUUUGUCUCCAAUUCAAGACAAACAAUAAUUGGCGCUUUUAUGUCUUCUACACCCUUUAGCACCAUGGGAGCUUCUUCUACAGCAGUAGAUGAAUUGACCGCUAUUCAAAGGAGAAGAAGGGUUCAAAAAAUUAGCCUCAUUUUAUAACAAGUACAUAUUAAAGUGUUUAUAGUUUCUGAUAAAAUAAACAUAUAUUGUGUAUAUGGCACUAGAAUUAUCCCACUCUAUUACUUAGUUUUUAAUAUUCUUUAUUUGUUUAGGUCUUUUUUAUUAUACUUAAUUGGGUCCUUACUGGGUAUAUAAUUAUAUGAAGAUUAGUGUUAUUACUUUCCAAGUAUCUGUUUCCAAAGUAGUCAUCUUCAUUGGAGGUUUAAAAAUGUUGUGAUGGGUCUUUUAACAUUGGUGUGAAUAAAACAUAUAAAUAAGAUGGAAACGUAUAUUACAAGGCA